CAGCAGCCACGGGAAUACGGAGGGUGCAAGCGUUAAUCGGAUUUACUGGGCGUAAAGCGUGCGUAGGCGGCUUCUUAAGUCGGAUGUGAAAUCCCUGAGCUUAACUUAGGAAUUGCAUUCGAUACUGGGAAGCUAGAGUAUGGGAGAGGAUGGUAGAAUUCCAGGUGUAGCGGUGAAAUGCGUAGAGAUCUGGAGGAAUACCGAUGGCGAAGGCAGCCAUCUGGCCUAAUACUGACGCUGAGGUACGAAAGCAUGGGGAGCAAACAGGAUUAGAUACCCCUGUAGUCCCUGUCUCUUAUAC
rnacentral:rRNA from 1 species